rnacentral:rRNA from 1 species
UGAGACACGGCCCAGACUCCUACGGGAGGCAGCAGUGGGGAAUAUUGCACAAUGGGCGCAAGCCUGAUGCAGCGACGCCGCGUGAGGGAUGACGGCCUUCGGGUUGUAAACCUCUUUCAGCUCCGACGAAGCGCAAGUGACGGUAGGAGCAGAAGAAGCACCGGCCAACUACGUGCCAGCAGCCGCGGUAAUACGUAGGGUGCAAGCGUUGUCCGGAAUUACUGGGCGUAAAGAGCUCGUAGGCGGUUUGUCGCGUCGUCUGUGAAAUUCUGCAGCUUAACUGCAGGCGUGCAGGCGAUACGGGCAGACUUGAGUACUACAGGGGAGACUGGAAUUCCUGGUGUAGCGGUGAAAUGCGCAGAUAUCAGGAGGAACACCGGUGGCGAAGGCGGGUCUCUGGGUAGUAACUGACGCUGAGGAGCGAAAGCGUGGGUAGCGAACAGGAUUAGAUACCCUGGUAGUCCACGCCGUAAACGGUGGGUACUAGGUGUGGGUUUCAUUUCACGGAAUCCGUGCCGUAGCUAACGCAUUAAGUACCCCGCCUGGGGAGUACGGCCGCAAGGCUAAAACUCAAAGGAAUUGACGGGGGCCCGCACAAGCGGCGGAGCAUGUGGAUUAAUUCGAUGCAACGCGAAGAACCUUACCUGGGUUUGACAUACACCAGACGCAGUCAGAGAUGGCUGUUCCCUUGUGGUUGGUGUACAGGUGGUGCAUGGCUGUCGUCAGCUCGUGUCGUGAGAUGUUGGGUUAAGUCCCGCAACGAGCGCAACCCUUGUCCUGUAUUGCCAGCGGGUUAUGCCGGGGACUUGCAGGAGACUGCCGGGGUCAACUCGGAGGAAGGUGGGGAUGACGUCAAGUCAUCAUGCCCCUUAUGUCCAGGGCUUCACACAUGCUACAAUGGCUGGUACAGAGGGCUGCGAGACCGCGAGGUGGAGCGAAUCCCUUAAAGCCAGUCUCAGUUCGGAUUGGGGUCUGCAACUCGACCCCAUGAAGUCGGAGUCGCUAGUAAUCGCAGAUCAGCAACGCUGCGGUGAAUACGUUCCCGGGCCUUGUACACACCGCCCGUCACGUCAUGAAAGUCGGUAACA